UAGCCAUUCACCCUUUUUCUCUCCUCUUUUCUCUUCAAUUUUCUUUCUUUCUUCCCUUGUGUGCUACCGCCCAAGCCACCAAGAUUCAUCAUCAAUUUCUCUUCUUUUUGCAGUGUGUUCUUGCACCAUUCUUUUUGCUCCUUCUUGAUGUCAUUUUAUUUAUUUUUCCAGCCAUAAAUCUAAAAUAUUUUAUCUCAAAGAAUGAUCUCCAUUGCUGCCCGAGAAGCUUCAUUGCCACCCCUUUCAUCUAGCUAGUGUGCCGACUUAAGCGUCCCAAAUCAACAAUGAAGCCGUUAGACAUUCGCGCGUACGUUUUGCAUCAAAUCAGUGCUCGAUUAAAGUUCUUAAGGAGAAGCUGUGGGUUUCGUCAGUAUGCUGCGAUUGUGCGAAAAAAAAGGUGUGGGUUUUAACUUGUUAAAAUUGAAUGUUUUGAUAAUA